rnacentral:rRNA from 1 species
AGAGUUUGAUCAUGGCUCAGAACGUACGCUGGCGGCACGCUAACACAUGCAAGUCGAACGAAGUAGCAAUACUUAGUGGCAGACGGGUGAGUAACAUGUGGGUAUCUACCCUAUGGCCUGGAAUAACACGAGGAAACUUGUGCUAAUACUGGAUAAGUCUUUACGGAGAAAGCUUUAUGCACCAUUGGAUGAGCCCGCACUUGAUUAGUUUGUUGGUAGGGUAAUGGCCUACCAAGACUUUGAUCAAUAGCUGAUUUGAGAGGAUGAUCAGCCACAUUGGGACUGAGACACGGCCCAAACUCCUACGGGAGGCAGCAGUGGGGAAUCUUGCACAAUGGAGGAAACUCUGAUGCAGCGAUGCCGCGUGAGUGAAGAAGGCCCUUGGGUUGUAAAGCUCUUUCGUCGGGGAAGAAAAUGACUGUACCCGAAUAAGAAGGUCCGGCUAACUUCGUGCCAGCAGCCGCGGUAAUACGAAGGGACCUAGCGUAGUUCGGAAUUACUGGGCUUAAAGAGUUCGUAGGUGGUUGAAAAAGUUGGUGGUGAAAUCCCAGAGCUUAACUCUGGAACUGCCAUCAAAACUUUUCAGCUAGAGUUUGAUAGAGGAAAGCAGAAUUUCUAGUGUAGAGGUGAAAUUCGUAGAUAUUAGAAAGAAUACCAAUUGCGAAGGCAGCUUUCUGGAUCAUUACUGACACUGAGGAACGAAAGCAUGGGUAGCGAAGAGGAUUAGAUACCCUCGUAGUCCAUGCCGUAAACGAUGUGUGUUAGACGUUGGAAAUUUAUUUUCAGUGUCGCAGCGAAAGCGAUAAACACACCGCCUGGGGAGUACGACCGCAAGGUUAAAACUCAAAUGAAUUGACGGGGACCCGCACAAGUAGUGGAGCAUGUGGUUUAAUUCGAAGAUACGCGCAGAACCUUACCAACACUUGACAUGUUCGUCGCGACUUUAAGAGAUUAAAGUUUCG